GGAAAUUUCUAUAAUUAUUUAUUAAUUUGUUAUUAAUUUUCUAAAAGAUGAGGAAUAAAAUUUUAUAUUUUAUUCCAAUUUGUUUGAAUUUCAAAAAAAAUGAUUUUAUAAGUUACUGCAAUUAUGUGAAUAUUAAUAUCUUACGUGCAAAAUGUGAAUUGAUGUAACUAUUUGGAUUAAUUGUGGUAACUAUUAUAUGUGCAUUUUAUUGUUUAUUUUGUUCGAGCGGGUAGAUUAGAAACUCGAUUUAUUUUAUUAUUUUAGUAAAUCGAGACUGUCUUUUCAUUUUUAAAAUCAACAGUAUUUAUUUAUACCCAAAAAUUUUAUCCGAUACAAAUUACCAAAAUAUACCAAUUUUGGUAUUUUUAUAUUUCUGUGGAUUUUAAAAGUAUUGGAUAGUUUUGCAAAUGAAUAUUUUAUUAUUUUUAAAUUAGUGAGGACUUCAUUAAUUAUUUAUAAAAUUAGAGGGUGUCUAAAAAUUAUUACUUUUGCACAUUCUCUGUAUAUCGGAUUUUUAAAGAUUUUAGAAAAUUUUAAUUUUUGUUUUCGGAAAUGUUUUCAGGUCCCUAAAUUUUAUAAAUUGAUUAAACUAGCAUUCUUUUUCAAAUUUGGGGCUACAGGUUUUAAAAGUAUAAAUAUAGAGAGAGUUUAUUUUUCUUUCUAUUCACACACAUAAGCACGCGAGUAAUAGAUUGGGGUUUAGGGAUUGAUUGCAGUCGGUGAGUUGAGCAAACCACAGAGAGUCGACUGGGAUGUUCAGAUAUAGUGAAUAGUAUCAUGGAGCGAGGCUGGCAUAAACCAAUGAAGUGAAGCUGUGCUAUGGAUAUUUUAUUAAAGUCUGUCAGAAUCUAAGCAGAAGGGAACAGUUCAGUAGAUAGUACUAUUAGAAAUCUGAGUUAGACACCAGAGUUAAGGCAAGUAUUCUUAUUCAACUUCUAUAUUUAAAAGCAAGUUCUUAGUUUCUUCUAUUUACUCAAGAAUGAUUUUGAAACUUUUUGGAGUUCUUUAUUGGUAAACGUAUUCCAUGGCUUAUUUUUGUCCUAGUGGCAAUUGGUUAUUUUGUUCAAUAUUCUCUUUGAUAUUAUAUCUUUUAAGAAUGUUGAGCAUAGCCAACUAUAUAUGAUUUUAAACUUGGUUAACAGUAAAUUGUGGUAUACAGAGGAUUACUAUGCAGGUUUUGGAUUUAAAGAGGUUGGAUACCUUUUUGGGUUGGUAACAUGAAAAUGAUGUUAAAAGACUUCUAAUAUAGAAGUAUUAUUUAUAAACUGUUAACCAAUCGGAAUUCAUUUGCUGGACCGUGGUGCCGGUCGUGGUUACUUGUUACAUUAUUUUAAGGCCAAUGUGUGCCUUGGGCCCCUUAGUUCUUGGGAUAGGUAGCGCCCUGUCCCGGUGCUUGAUGCUCGGCUGAUCACCGUGUCAACACCACGCACCGUAGGCGAAUGAUUUUUCACAGAAUAGUUUUAAAUGAUUAUAUUCUCUUGUAAUUGCCAUACUUUUAUAGAAUUAUAACUGUUGUUCUCCGUUGUUGAAAAUACCCGGCAAGUUACAUACAAAAUCUGAUAUAUGUCAUUCUCCUUUUAUUUAUUACAACUGUUCAUUCAUAUACUUGCUGAGCAUUAUUGCUCACCCUUGCUAUUCCUUUUAACCUUUUCAGCUAGGGAUUAAGAUGAUUCGUUUGUCAAGCUGCGCGUAGAAGUAAUGCUAGGCGAAAUUGCCAGUGAGAUGUCUGCAAGAAUAGUAUGGGUUAGAAUUGUUCUAUUUCAGUUUAUUGUAUAAUAGAUUUAUUUAUUGGUUAUCAGUUACUCUUCUUAUCGAGGUUUAACUGAUAAUGUAGUUUAAGUUGUAAUAAGAUUUGAUAGUUUUUGGUUUC